rnacentral:rRNA from 1 species
GACGAACGCUGGCGGCGUGCUUAACACAUGCAAGUCGAACGGAAAGGCCCUGCUUUUGUGGGGUGCUCGCGUGGCGAACGGGUGAGUAACACGUGAGUAACCUGCCCUUGACUUUGGGAUAACUUCAGGAAAGUGGGGAUAAUACCGGAUAGGAGCUCCUGCUGCAUGGUGGGGGUUGGAAAGUUUCGGUGGUAGGGGAUGGACUGGCGGCUUAUCAGCUUGUUGGGGGGGGAGUUGCUUACCAAGGCUUUGACGGGUAGCCGGCACGGGAGGGGGGACGCGGACCAGGGGCCUGAGGGAGGGACCAGUGUCGAACGGUGGACAGCGGGCGGAAGUCUGGUACAGUGGGGGGGAGUGUGAGGCGGAAGCGUCGCGAGCGGGAUGCCGGCCUUCUGGGUGUAAACCGCAGUCAGCUGAGACGAAGCGUGAGUGACGGUACUGGGUGAAGAAGCACCGGCUAACUACGUG